rnacentral:rRNA from 1 species
GACGGAGGAUCCAAGCGUUAUUCGGAAUGACUGGGCGUAAAGAGUUGCGUAGGUGGCACUGUAUGCGUGUGAUGAAAUCUUGAGGCUCAACCUUAAGGCUAUUACGCGAACAGCAGAGCUAGAGCAUAUGAGGGGUACCUGGAAUUCCUAGUGUAGGAGUGAAAUCCGUAGAUAUUAGGAGGAACACCAAUGGCGUAGGCAGGGUACUGGCAUAUUGCUGACACUAAGGCACGAAAGCGUGGGGAGCGAA